GGAGCCCGGUUUGGCGGAGUGUGGGUGGAAUGGCGGCGGAGGUGGAUAUGGACGAGGGGGGUUGGGGAUGCUGGUCGCCGGUAUCCUGCCGCUUGUGUUCCACAGCAUGGUUACUGUGCGACGGGCGGUGUCACGGCUGCUGGCGGCGCUGUGCUUCGGCGGCGAAGCUGACUGUUGGUCGGGCUGGUCGGCGCUGGUGACGGGGUCAGCGGCAAUGGCGACAGUAGCAGCAGCAACAGCGUCCCCGGCGGCGGCAGCGGGAUUGCC
rnacentral:lncRNA from 1 species